UCUGGGAUUAGAUACCCUGUUAUUUUAAAAAUAAUUAAAUUAAAUAGAGUAGUAUUAGUUAUAUUCUUAAAACUUAAAAAAUUUGGCGGUAUUUUAAUCUAUUCAGAGGAACUUGUUUUAUAAUUGAUAAUCCUCAUUUAAUCUUACUUAAUUUAAUUAAAUUUGUAUACCGUUGUCAUAAGAAUUUCUUUAAAAAGUAUUAAUUUUCUAAAAUUUUUAUUAAUAAUAAUGUCAAAUCAAGGUGCAGUUUAUAGUUAAGUAAAAAUGAGUUACAAUAAAUUUAUUUAUAUGAAUUAAAAAUUGAAAAAUUUUUAUAAAGGUGGAUUUGAUAGUAAAUUAAAAUUAAUAAUUUUAAUUGAUUAUAGUUCUAAAAUAUGUACAAAUCGCCCGUCACUCUCUGA
rnacentral:rRNA from 1 species